GAGUUUGAUCCUGGCUCAGAGCGAACGCUGGCGGCAGGCUUAACACAUGCAAGUCGAGCGGGCGUAGCAGUACGUCAGCGGCAGACGGGUGAGUAACACGUGGGAACGUACCUUUUGGUUCGGAACAACUGAGGGAAACUUCAGCUAAUACCGGAUAAGCCCUAACGGGGAAAGAUUAUCGCCGAAAGAUCGGCCCGCGUCUGGUUAGCUAGUUGGUGAGGUAAUGGCUCACCAAGGCGACGAUCAGUAGCUGGUCUGAGAGGAUGAUCAGCCACACUGGGACUGAGACACGGCCCAGACUCCUACGGGAGGCAGCAGUGGGGAAUAUUGGACAAUGGGGGCAACCCUGAUCCAGCCAUGCCGCGUGAGUGAUGAAGGCCCUAGGGUUGUAAAGCUCUUUUGUGCGGGAAGAUAAUGACGGUACCGCAAGAAUAAGCCCCGACUAACUUCGUGCCAGCCGCCGCCGUAAC
rnacentral:rRNA from 1 species